rnacentral:rRNA from 1 species
AAUGAACGUUGGCGGCGUGGAUUAGGCAUGCAAGUCGAGCGAGAACCGGUUUCGGCCGGGGACAGCGGCGAACGGCGUAGUAAUGCAUCGGAACGUACCCUCUGGUCGGGGAUAGCUACGGGAAACUGUAGGUAAUACCCGAUAAUCUCUGUGGAGCAAAGGUGAGAUUCCGCCGGAGGAGCGGCUUACGUGAUAUUAGCUAGUUGGUGGGGUAAUGGCCUACCAAGGCAACGAUGUCUAGGGGGUGUGAGAGCAUGGCCCCCACGACCGGAACUGAGACACUGUCCGGACACCUACGGGUGGCUGCAGUCGAGAAUCUUCCGCAAUGGGCGGAAAGCCUGACGGAGCGACGCCGCGUGGUGGAUGAAGGCCCUUGGGUUGUAAACACCUGUCAGAGGGGAGUGAAAU